UCUACAGAAACCGGUUCCCUAAUGCUGUAGUCUGGUGCUGCUUCCUCCUGAUAGCAUAGAGAUGCUUGCUUAAUAUAAAGAAAAUAAUAUCCAAUUCCCACUUACACCCUCAACAUAUUUUUUUCUUUCUCAGCACUGUGUUUCUAAAUCACGCAUGAUUUUUUAAAAAUCAGAUAUUGGAUCAAUGCGUCAUCAAUGAAAAUACUGGGAGGUUUAGUACAGAUUAAUACUGGAUAAACUGGUUAGUUUGCAGUACUGUAGUGAAGUUUACAGUGAUGCAAUAUGUUAGACUGGUGCAGGGUAGUCUGUGGCGUUCAUUGUCAGUGUAGGUUACAUCAAGACAUCAAUUUAUAUUUAAGCUGAUCAGCUUAUAUAUUGUUCAGUUCAGUUAAAUCACAAAAGAUCAGUAAGCUUCAGAUCAGCAGGAACAGAGUGUUAAUGGUCUAUAUGGAAAGAAACCCAAUCUACUGGAACUCACAAUACAAGCUUUUAUAGAUCAUUCAGAAGUAGCUUGAAAUUUCCAGGUAUUUAACCCCAAACUUUUAGAUAAUAUCUAAAAAAAAUUUGACUUUGAUCUAAAUCUUCCUGGCAUUUUCUUUCCAGUGGCAGAAAUAAGCUUCUAAAGUUUUGUGUCUAUUUCUAGGUGGUUUUUGUAGGUUGCACAACUAAACCAGAUAUUAGGGUUUCCCCUAUCUGACAAAGCACAGUUUAACCCCUGGCCAACACAAAUGGAUUUCUGACUUGCCAACAUAGCAGCUAGCUCAUUAAUCUUAGUUUGUUUCCUCGCUAACAUUUUUAAAGAAAAAUCCCCAUUAAUUGAUUACUCAUUGGUUUCUGUCCUUAUCUGGAGUUUCUUUUAGAGUUUAUGCUGUGAUGAAACAAACUGUUUUGUGGUUUGUACAUUUCCUUGUUCCUUGCCAGCUAUUGUUCCGUAAUGGCAAAUGGGCAGAAGAGAGACACUGAGGGAGGGAUCAUUAAAAUGAAAAUAACUCCAUAUUGAUUUCCUCUGAAAAUCCUUCCCCAUUCACCAAGUUCACAGGCUGUAAGGGGCAACCCAAAGACAUGGAGAAGAUGUCAUUUUACCACUCACACACUGGCAAUAAAAAAUAUUAAACAUAUAAAAGUCCUAUAUAUUGCUUCUAAAUGAAUAUUAGUUGCGUUUAAAAGUGGUAAAGGAUGAAACAGCAUGAAGUGUCACCUGUUUAUGUUGGAUACAGGGGCAGCAGCAGGGACAGGCAGGGACUUGAAUCUUCUCUGAGGAAUAGAGGAUCUGCUCCUUAAACCCCCCGUUCAGGUGUUGGAGGUGCAGUGGAUGCAGAGGAGCCUGGUAAUCUAGUUCAUCCCUCCUGAUGUGGUGGUAACGCUGAGUGGGCUCAUGCUUUGCGUCACCCCUCUCCAGCCUGGAAGCGUGGUUGUUAUGGUUGUUGUAAUGGUGAUGCCUGCUGUUGGUGUUGCCGUUUGCUUGUCUUUUGUGAUGGUUUUUGUGAUGAUGUACGCCAUUCCCAUUGCUGUAUUUGUUUGGAUCACUGUCAGUAUAGUAGAAGCCAUCAUGGAAGUGGUCGUCGUGGUAGCAGCUCUUAUCACCCAUUGGUUCCUCUGGGUAGAGCGGGGUCCUCUCGCUUUCUGGCGUGGUGCAGUUCUCCCCGACUUCAUAGACAAAGAAGAUUUUUGACAUGUAGUCAAUGAUGAGCACCUUAGCCCAGUAAGGGACUGGUUUGGCUUCAGCACCGCAGAAAUGAAUGUUCAUGAUGAAGAUGGUGAGAGAAGUGGAGGCUGUGAUCAUAGUCAUGGUGGCAAUGUAAUACUUCCCUAAAAAGGAAGAUAGAAGAAAUUACAGAUUUAUAAAUAGAGUCAGACACAAUCUAUCUAUUAAAAAGUCUGUAAAAAUAAUAAAUACAUAGGGUCAAGUGUAUGGGUAGCUUAAAAGUAGGUAAUACUGGUUUAUUUAUCUUGAGAUACCAUGCAAAAUUUUAAUAUAUAAUCACAAGACUAAGUAACCAGUGGGGCCCCGAUUUAUGUGUAAAAUCAGUCAAAAUUUUGACCUUGUGCUUCAUAUUUUUGAAUGAAUUUUUAUGCAUUUUUAUUAUGCCUGUUUUUAUUACGACUUUCUACAGUUUCCAUACUUCCAUAAAUAAUUCAGACCUAUGUAGGGCAUGCUUUCUGCAGGAGGCAUGCUCUCAGCCACCAACAACUGGAACACAGUGAGCGCCAGCAGAACCGUCACCCCCAAGGAAACUUUCUCCCCCGAGUCGGCUGGAAGGUAGAAGCCCAGCGGGGCCAGGAAGGAGAUGAGGAAGCAGGGGAGGAGCAAGUUGAAGAUGUAGAAGGAGGAGCGCCUCUUCAGGAGCAGGGUGUAGGUGAUUUCAGUACACACCUGGUUUCCAUUGUAGGUCCAGGAGCCAAAUGUGAGAUUGCAUUGCUGCCAGUCAAAGGGGAAGUAGGAGACAUCCACCACACACGAGCUCUUUGUGAUGGCCGGAGAGUCCCAGAUGAUCUCUCCGUUGUAACGCAGCUUCACGUUAGUGUUGGAUGGGCCUGACGACUCCUCAUCUGCUCUAAGUGGACAAAAACAGAAAGAAUGCAGGACAAUGUCGGGCUUCCAAACCAGGUCACUGGGGAUGUUGAUCAUUUCUAGGUCAUCAUAUUCCUCCUUGUCCCACUUCAGGUAGGCAUCAUGCCAGACCUGCCUGAUCCACAGGUAUGUGGUUAACACCUGAUUCCUCUCAUCCUAAACACACACGAACAUAGACACAGUGACAGUCCCUCGAUUUAUGGCUCCCACAAACGGAGCACACUUGAAGACUCCUACUUUAUACUACAUUAUCCUGAGUGUGAUCCUCACAGUACACCGAAAGGCUGUAUGCUGAAACCCAUCUUUAUCUGUAGCUCUGAAGAUGUGACCACUGGGAGUAAAAAACGCUCUGUGAAAACAGCCUCUUUGUCAGAUCUGAGAAGAGGCCUACAAAGGUUAAAUGAUCUGGGUUUCCCAGCUAGUGCUUUUAGAAAUGUAAAUUUGGUACUGAAUGCUUAAGUUUCAAACUGGAGGCGUGGAGUUUCAUAACAGCCAGUGAGGGUCUAACACAGCAGGCUGCAGGGUGGUUUAAAGGGGACUAAGU